ACAAUAUUGUAGAUAUAUAUCCCAUUGUUUCAUAUUGUAUACUGUAAAACUGCUCGGUUUAGUAUAUUUUGUUAUACCACUUAAAUUAAUUCUACAUUUUCAAAUUGAUAUUAAUGUUUCUGGUAUCGUAAAGUUUACUAUAGCUGUAUAAGUAACACAGUACUGUUAAUAUAAUAUUUAUAGUGUUAUAUUGUAUACUGGGUAAAUAUGUAGUGUACGGAUUAUCGUCAAAAAUUUUUUAAAAAUCUGAAAUAACGUCCUCUUUUCAUUACAACUUGUGGAGAUAAGAAAUUCCAAUUACUUUUGGAGAUAUCGAAUUUUUAAAUUUUAAUCACUAUACCUGUACAUUCACACGGCAUUCAUCAUUGUUUUUUGUUUAUUGGAUAAUGUUGUCACAUGAUAGUUCGUGAUAGGCCAAUAUUCAAAUGAACCAAUAGGUGAUGAUUUAUUCAUUUAUUGUUGCGCGUAAAAAAAAAUUACGUUCAUUACUACUGUUAAUCCUUUGUUCCGGUUUGUUAGGUUAGGUCAGCUACAUUAUAAAUACUUUAAAACUAAACAACCAUUAAAAUUAAUUUUAUUAUUUUUAAUGUCCGAUCAGUUUCAAAGUAUUUAUAAUGUAGCUGACCUGACCUAAUCUACUUUUGUCCCGUUUUGUUAGGUCAGGUCAGUUACAUUAUAAAUACUUAAAACUAUACAACAAGUAAAAUUAAUGAUAUUAUUUUUAAUUUCCGUUUAUUUUGAACUAUUAAUAAUGUAACUAACCUUACCUAAUGGAAGAUUUCUGUUAUUUAAGCAUUCACGCACACACAACAAAAUAUAAAAUUUCGGCGGUUGAAUGAUUACAUAGGUCUUGUAUUACAAAAUAAGAACAGCGAUAUCUGCAAAAGUAAUUGGAAUUUCUUAUCUCCGCAGGCUGUAAUGAAAAGAGGACGUAAAAGAGCAUAUAAUAAAAUUUAUUUCAGAUUUUUAUAAUUUUUUUUGACGGUAAUCCGUACACUACAUAUUUACCGUAUAUUGUAGUUCCACCCCGCUUAAUAUAUUUUGCGAUACCACAUUUGUGUAUUUUAAUUGUUUGCGGUUUUGGUAAUUUUUUCGCGUUGCAGCUUUUUCAUAAAUGAAGUAAUGAAAUUUUGAAAAUACUUUUUUCGAACACAAAAGACAUUCCUUUUUUUUUACCCUGUAAAUGGCAUUUCUUAAUUCCUACUGGUUUCUCUGAAAUUAUUGUUUGUAGUUCAUAUUAGAUAGUCUAUGCAGUGAAGCAACCGUCUCCAUGUUGUGCUUUCAUUGUGUUGCUGAUAUUGUGAGUUUCCAUGCAUAAGACCGGUUAUAUAUAUAUUUUUAUUUAAAUGUUGUAAUACAAUUUAAUGUAAAUAAUAACUUAAAAAAAAUUACUUGAGUCCCUGCUAUGCAUCGAAACCGAAGCAUAAACCCUUUCACAGGGAUUUGUUUUAGCAGUAUGGAGGCGUGAAGCUUCGACAUGUUAUGUGUGAUAUCAUGUAACCUGACGUAUUAAAGGAAUUGUUAUUUCGUGUAUCAAACAUAAUAAUUCCUUUUGUAGGUAGUAUGUCAGGUUACGUGCUCUCAUAUAUAACUACUACAAAUCACAUGUUAGUAAAAAUCUACUUACCUUUCUUGGCUUUAUAGCAAUAAUUGUUUAUUGUCAAUAUUUAUUGUGUAAAUAUACCCCAAAAAAAUUUGCUAUUCCUCCAUUUAAUUCAUUAUAUAUUGCAAAUUGUCAUAUUCCUGGUCAUUACUACAAUUACAACCUCACAUUCUUUCUCUACCAUUAUAUUAAUUCAAUAUAAAUAAUCAUUACCUAGAUCUUCUCUUGUGAAUACUACUCUCAUUACCACACAUAGAUCUAUCCAAUAAAUUUAUUUUUGCUUAUUAAAUUCUUAUUGUGUUAUUUUACUUUGUUCCUCCAUCCAAGUGUGUUAUCCUUUACAUCAUACAUUUCCCUGUACUUUCUUUCCAACCAAUAGUAAGUAUGAUUUAAAGUGAACUUGACCCAAGUUUCGUAUCACAUAUCUAAGUUUAUACAUACCUUAAUCCUGUAGUACAUGAUGCUUGCUGUUUAAAUUUAGUUCAUUGAAAGAUCCUGGACAUAGCAAAAAAUUGUGAUAUAACAAUGCAUUAUAAUCAUUAGUUGAUAUGAAAGAAAAAAUUCCACACGACCUGACUUAUUUUUAUUAUAUUGUGAUAUGGGCAAUUCCAUUUGAAAUGAACCUUAGAACCAAAAUGUGAAAUUAUUAUUAUGAAAACAGUUUGUCAAUAAAUAGUUUAAAAACAAAUUAUAUUUCACAAAAUUUGUUGAAAUACAUUCAUAUAUAAUUUUUACAAUCUCUUAAAGUUUGUGGUACUUAAUUGUUGAUUGUAAAGAGUGUUAUAUUGUGAGUAUGUUAGCAACCCUGCUUUACACACCAUGAGACAUCCAUCUUGUUUUGUUUGUGCUGCAAUAGCAAGAGUGGACAUUGCCUUCUGUACUUCCACAAAAUUACAUUUUACAGAUGCUGAAAUGCCUCUCACAGUGACGGAUCGUGUUAGGAAAUAACAAAAUCAGACCCAAAUAAAAGGAAAGAGUAUCUCAAGAAAGAAAGGGAACGAGAUAAGAAAAGGCGAGAAGCUAGAAAACGUGAGCUGCUAACAAACAAUAAAAAGCUCAAUGCAAAAAGAAGAAAUGAUAGAGAAUGUCAAAGAUCAUGCAGGCAAAGGAAGAAGGACUUGAUGACUGUAACAAAGGUACACAUUACAUCCCCUAUUGGUUCAUAUAAAUGUCCUCAAUCAUUUGGGAAAGCUGUGGCAAAAGUAAAAAAAUUACUUCCUAACAGCCCAAGCAAAAAGCAAGCUGUUCUAAAUAAAAUUGUACUAGAAACAUUUGACCCUCAAACAUCUAAAAAUAUUUAUAAAAGAGUGAAGAAAGGUUCCAGGAACAUAUCUCAUGCCGACAAAACUGAAGUUGAGAAUUUCUAUUGCCGGGAUGAUGCGAGUCAUCAGGCUCCUGGCAUUAGAGAUGUCAAGUCUGUGAAAGAUAAAAUGACUGGUACAAGACAACUGGUUCAAAAACGUUACAUGGUUUUGACAGUGGGAGAAGCUUAUGAGGAAUUCAAGAAACAUAACCCUGACAUAAAAAUAAAGAAAUCUAAGUUUCAUUCUCUUCAGCCGCAGUACAUUUUGCCUGUAUCUCAAAUACCCCACAAUGUUUGCAUUUGUAAAUCUUGCAAAUUUCAAUUUUUUGACUGAUCCUUUGGCAAAUUUGAUACCCAACUUUCCAAAAACUUCAAAAGAUCUCCUAAGUAAUGCAAGUUGUGAUGUAAACAAUGAAAAGUGCAUGACAGGAGUAUGUGGUAGUUGCCCAGAUCUUCAGUUACCACAAACGGUUAACCUGUCUGUUUCAUGGAAACAAUGGAAGGACAUCAAUGGUCACCUAAAAAUAAUUGAAAACAUAUCAUCAUUACGAGAUGCAUUUAAAGAGCUGAAAAUGCUGAUUCCAUCAACUUCACUGUUAUGUUAGGAAAAUCAAAUCUGAUUUUUUUGAAAGGAAAAAAAGAGCUGGGUGAAAAUGAAGCAGUUGUACAGAUUGAUUUUGCGGAAAAUUAUGCUUUGAUUUGUCAGGAUGAAAUCCAAAGUGCCCACUGGAGCCACUCCCAGGUUACCUUAUUCACGUGUUGUGUGUGGCAAAAAAAUUGUGUGCAAUCAUACUCAGUGGUAAGUGAUGACCUGUCUCAUGACAAGUAUUAUGUGUGGUGCUUUCUCAAAGAAGUAAUUUCAGAAGUAAAAGCUGCUAAUCCUAACAUUAGUUACAUCUACAUAUUUUCAGAUAAUUGUGCUGCACAGUUUAAAAAUAAAUUUACAUUGUCAAACUUGUGCAAAAUGGAAAAGGAUUUUGGGGUUACAGGAGUGUGGAUUUUUUUUGCUACCUCCCACGGUAAGGGUACUGUUGAUGGUAUUGGUGGGUCAGUGAAGCGGUGUGUCUGGAAAACAGUGAGGGCAAGAGAGGCAAUUGUAAAUACAGCUGAGCAGUUUUACAUUGUUGCACAAGGAAAACUAAAAGGUAUAAAAAUUCUCUUUGUAUCACAUGACCAUGUGGAAAAAACAAAGCUAUGUUGAGUAAAAGGUGGAAUGGUGUCAAAAAAAUACCUGGAAUCCAAAUGUGCCAUUACUUUAUGGGAUACGAUGAUGAUAACAUUCUUGCAGGGAGAACAGCUGUAUCAGAAAUGGAAAAGGUAACCGUUUUCCCAAAAGAAGUCCACACAAAAUGUAUACACUACAGUGAUGUCUAUAGUGAUUCCGGCGACGACUUUAAUAGCAACCAAAAUCCUGGACCAUCGACUGAUGUUUUAAAUUAUAGACUGCUCACGCCAGUAAACAUUGGACCUGACAUUUACGUUGUUGAAUUACAUUCGACAAAUAAAAAGUUGGUCUACAAAUAUGUAGCAGUGUGUCAAAGUGAAGUUUGUGAAACUGAUGGGGAUGUGAAAGUAAUGUUUCUAAAAAUGUACGGAAACAAUAGGAAAGUGUUCAAAACAGACAAAAAUGACAUUGCUGAUGUACCUUUUGAACAGAUUAUGAAAAUAUUGCCCUCUCAAAAAUUGCAGUUUCGAGGUGAAAGAGUUGUUUAUGAAUUUCCGGAUUGUGUAGAUGUUUACGAGAGGGGUUGAACAUUAUGUCACAAAUAGUUAAGAAAUGAAAUGCAUUAGUGUCAAAGGUUAGGAAUUGUGUGCAAUUAUAGAUAUGUUUUAGUAAGUUUAAUGUUGAUGAGAAUAAAUGCAUAUCCAGACACAUUUGUUUUGCUGUUGUAUACAUUUAUUAAGUGACAUGUUUGCAUGUGGUCACACCCAUAACAGACCUCUGUCUCACCCGUAACAUUCAAAAGUGUUGUGAAUAUGAAUAAAUAAAAAAUAUUUUUUGUAACUAGCUAAUGCUUAGUUAAUUCCAAAAUAUUUAGCCAAUUGCAAAAGAGAAUUGAUAACUGAAUGUACAAUACUUUCGCAGAAUUUUAUGUAUAUCUUCAUGCUUGCUAAAGUGUUUGUCCAAAAUGAGUCACACCCAUAACAGGAUCUUUUAAGGCAACGUUGCUUGAUUAUCAUUUAUGUUUUCUAACUCGAAUGGAGGUAUGAGUUCUUUGGGACAAAACUUUUCUGGCUAACUAAACAUUUAAAACUGAUUAUUUAUUACUUACAAGUUAUUUUAAUUUUUGUGUGUACAAGUCACACCCGUAACAAUGGAAUUACCCUUAUUCAAUUUUUUGAUUGGCCAGGAUCUUUCGGCAGAAUUAUUUAUAUAUGUUAUGUAUAUUGUUUCAUACAUAUGAUAUAUUAUUCAAUAUUCUUCUAUAUUCGCUAGAAAUGGUAAACCAAUUGGGAUAAAAUAUUCUUGGCUCUGGCCGUAACAUUCUGACAUUAAAAAUCCCUGUAAUUUUGAAAACAGUCUUGGCUACACUGUAUUCUUAAGGAUCUCUGGUGAACCACACGAUAAAAAUCAGCCCAAUCUCACAUGGAAAACAGUCUCGGCUACGCCAUUAAAGCACAACAUGGCUGCUGCUGCUUCACUGCACAGGCUAUCUAAUUGAAUUUAUAAACAGUAGUUUCUCAGAAACUGUUUCUCAAACACUGUUUUCAUGGUUAAUAGAAAAACUUCUUUAGUGUUCAAAAACACAGUUUUUGGUGGUUCUGUUUUCUUUUUCCGGAAAAAAACAGUGACUCUUUCAAUUUAAGUACCUACCAACUUUUUUUAUGAUGUAGAAUCUGUAAGGCUCACCAGUAGUUAACCAGAAGAGGGAAAAAAAAAUAAAACAUAAAAA